UUGGACAUUGAAUUCAUCUAACCUUCUUAUUUGAAUUGAGUUAUAUGUGAUUACUUGGAAUCCUUGAAUGCUCUUGCUUUCAUAUCUUUUCAAAUCUGAAUACAAUUGUGAAAGAUUAUUCCUUACUUCGUAUUGACUCAUAAAGGCACAUGUACGUUUUGUUGUUCCGCGUGUGCUUCCGAUAUUUGCUAUUCAUUGUUCAUACUAUCCUUUUGUACUCUGGUGUUUGUGGGAUAUUGUGAACCUUUGCUAGAAAUGGUAAAGGGAGUUAUGCAUAGAGCCUGUGAUGCUCUACCAGCCCUUAUAACUUCACUCAGACGUGGGAGACCUCCCAGACGUGGGAGACUUAUGUUUGGUGGUCAUUCAGAAAUGGAAGUACCAUAUUAUGUUAUGGUCCCACUUCACCUUCUGUAUGUUUGAUAUGAUAUCCAGAGCUUUGGUUAUGUGUUUCUAUACAUGCUUUGGAUAAGAAUGAUAUAAAUGUAACGUCAAAUUCGAUGUUUGAGCUUCUAUUUCGUAUUCGUUCUUUGAUAUGCUCCGAAAUGGUCCAUAUGCCAUUGAUAUGUUUCGAAAUGUUUCAUUUAUCAUUGAUAUGCUACGAAACAUUUCAUACGCCUUUGAUAUGCUCCGAAAUGUUUCAUUUGCUAUUGUUAUGCUUCGAAAUAUUCCAUAUGUAGUUGAUAUGCUCCGGAACAUUUCAUACGCUAUUGAUAUGCUCCAAUUACUCUAUGCUCUAUCUGUUAUGAACCAAAUAGGUUUUGAAUGACAUGACACAUAUGAUUUCGUAUCUAAUGAGAUGGUAUCCUUGAGAAUUCUUGUAUUCUGCCUUACAUUAUGAUAUCUUACUUGUUUGAAACCGUUCCUUUUGUUCUGAAUAUGCUUUGUUACUUGCUGAGCUAUUUUUAGCUCACUCCGUUGUUAUAUAAAUCUUUCAAGUCAGCUUGUCACUCUUUGAGAUGUUUGAAUUGGGCUGAGGCAGUGGAGAGCUAUUCUGAAUUAUGGGCAAGUCUUGUUGGUUAUUAUGUUAUUGUUGUAUAAGCAUAUUUUGUAUGAAAUGAAAUGUUGUCGAUGAAUCGAAAUUGAUAUACUGUGUAAAAGUGUUAGAAUAUCUCUCUUAUUUGGAAUUUCAGAAUGUUAAGUCUAAUUUAUGAUGAUAUGAACUUAUGGUAAAUGGUUGGAGUUAUGAUUGUAUAAAUUACUUAGCUUGUGGAUUUAUAAAUGUUGUACAUGUUUGUUAAGUUGGCUUGGAUUACCAUAAAUGUGAAUUAUCGAGUGAUGUGAUAUAUGAUUAUAAACUGCACAGGUUUUAUAGAUGUGAAUUUGAUAGAAUGUUUUUCAGUGUCCUCAAAUGUUAGUUUGAAUCCUUGAUUGGUUUGUGAUGAAAAUUUUAAUAUCAUGGAUAUAUUUUGAGGGGGCGUGACACCAUCGCCUGACACAGUCUCAGAGACUAUACCACGACGAUUCCACCUGUUGGGUCACUGUUUGAGCCUUUCACUUGGCCCAACACAGCCUAAAUUUGGGCCUAAUUGAUCCCUAAAUUGAGUUCGUCUAAUUCCAAGCUAAUUAUGUGCUAACUACGAAUUUUAAGGCAUACACUAAGCUAAAUAAGUUUGGUAAGUCUAGGUUUCUUCCAAUGAGC
rnacentral:lncRNA from 1 species